AUUGAACGCUGGAGGAAGGCCUAACACAUGCAAGUCGAACGGAGUGGCGGACGGGUGAGUAAUGCCUAGGAAUCUGCCUGGUAGUGGGGGAUAACGUACGGACACGGGAGAUAAUACCGCAUACUAUCAGAUGCGCCUACGUCGGAGUAGAUAGUUGGUGGGGUAAAGGCCUACAAAGGCGACGAUCCGUACAUGGUCUGAGAGGAUGAUCAGUCACAGUGUAACUGAGACACGGUCCAGACGCCUAUGGGAGGGAGCAGUGGGGAAUAUUGGACAAUGAGCGAGAUCCUGAUCGAGCCAUGCCGCGGGUGUGAAGAAGGUCUUCGGAUUGUAAAGCACUGUAAGUUGGGAGGCGUUACCAACAGAAUAAGCACCGGCUGAAAUCGUGCCAGCGGCGGCGGUAAUUC
rnacentral:rRNA from 1 species